rnacentral:rRNA from 2 species
UAUAAUGGGUCAGCGACUUAUAUUCUGUAGCAAGGUUAACCGUAUAGGGGAGCCGAAGGGAAACCGAGUCUUAACCGGGCGUUAAGUUGCAGGGUAUAGACCCGAAACCCGGUGAUCUAGCCAUGGGCAGGUUGAAGGUUGGGUAACACUAACUGGAGGACCGAACCGACUAAUGUUGAAAAAUUAGCGGAUGACCUGUGGCUGGGGGUGAAAGGCCAAUCAAACCGGGAGAUAGCUGGUUCUCCCCGAAAGCUAUUUAGGUAGCGCCUCGUGAAUUCAUCUCCGGGGGUAGAGCACUGUUUCGGCUAGGGGGCCAUCCCGGCUUACCAACCCGAUGCAAACUGCGAAUACCGGAGAAUGUUAUCACGGGAGACACACGGCGGGUGCUAACGUCCGUCGUGAAGAGGGAAACAACCCAGACCGCCAGCUAAGGUCCCAAAGUCAUGGUUAAGUGGGAAACGAUGUGGGAAGGCCCAGACAGCCAGGAUGUUGGCUUAGAAGCAGCCAUCAUUUAAAGAAAGCGUAAUAGCUCACUGGUCGAGUCGGCCUGCGCG